rnacentral:rRNA from 1 species
GUCGCAUGCUUCCGGCCGCCAUGGCGGCCGCGGGAAUUCGAUUAGAGUUUGAUCAUGGCUCAGAUUGAACGCUGGCGGCAUGCCUUACACAUGCAAGUCGAACGGCAGCACGGGAGCAAUCCUGGUGGCGAGUGGCGAACGGGUGAGUAAUACAUCGGAACGUGCCCAGUAGUGGGGGAUAACCCGGCGAAAGCCGGACUAAUACCGCAUACGACCUACGGGUGAAAGCAGGGGAUCGCAAGACCUUGCGCUAUUGGAGCGGCCGAUGUCAGAUUAGCUAGUUGGUGGGGUAAAAGCCCACCAAGGCGACGAUCUGUAGCUGGUCUGAGAGGACGACCAGCCACACUGGGACUGAGACACGGCCCAGACUCCUACGGGAGGCAGCAGUGGGGAAUUUUGGACAAUGGGCGCAAGCCUGAUCCAGCCAUGCCGCGUGCGGGAAGAAGGCCUUCGGGUUGUAAACCGCUUUUGUCAGGGAAGAAACGCUCCGGGCUAAUACCCUGGAGUAAUGACGGUACCUGAAGAAUAAGCACCGGCUAACUACGUGCCAGCAGCCGCGGUAAUACGAAUCACUAGUGAAUUCGCGGCCGCCUGCAGGUCGACCAUAUGGGAGAGCUCCCAACGCGUUGGAUGC